rnacentral:lncRNA from 1 species
AAACCCCAACGGAACGUAGCCUCUAAAGGAGGGAGACCUGCACUCCUCAGAACGCAUCGAGACCAGUGUCCUUAUCGACUUCGCGUCUGUCCCUCCAAGAAGCCAAGACCCGGGGCCGCUUCAGCGCCCGACUCCCGGGCACCGCGUCCCCAGGCUGGCCCCGUGCCCGGCACACACCGCCCGUUCCAUGAACGAGUGACGCGCACGAAGAGACCCCCCCCCCCCCCCGCUCCGCGCGCCGCACAGCUGUCCCGCGACCUGACGGGCACCUCUCGGCGCACAAGCCUAUUCCUCAGAAACACGCUCGCCUCCCACCAGCCCCCAGGCCCACGCCCCCAGGUACCUCUCCCAGAUGGCAUCAUCUUCGCAGGCGCCCUGGUCGUCCGUGUCCGGCGAGCAGGAAGAGCGGGAGCUGAAGGAGGGCCACCUCAGGCCAGCGGCCAUGGCUGUGGAGGGCCCGGGCUGCUGUGCCCAGCGGGGACACGGAGCGGCGUCCACGGACGAGCCCGGCCCGGGAGAGAGCCGCAGAGCGCGGCCGGACUCCGCGGGGCUCGGCUCUGGCCAGGCAGGCGCGGCUCGCCGACGCCUCCCACGCCUCCCGCGACGGUGGCCCGGCAGCCGCGCGCGCUCCUCUCCUCGCGGGCGCGCGCCGCCGCCCAGACGCUCCCAGGCCGUUGCCCCGCCCCCUCCGGCGGUGGACUGCGGACAGGGACAGGGACACCCUCCUGGGAGAACUCCUGGGGCCCCGCCCACACGCUUCGGACCUUCGCGGAGCGGGAAGGUGCGCUGACAGGGACGCAGGGUCCCCGCCAAGCUCGCUCUCGGGGGAACUGCAGCCUCCUCCCUCGGGUUUUACUCGAACGUCAGACCCGAAACCACGCAACGUCUACAAGCAAACCCUUUGACAUCAGUCUUAGCAGCCUAUGUUCAAGUACCACGUCUGACUGGGCAAUGGAAACAAAAUACAAAAUGAACAAACGGGACUACAUCAAAGUAAAAAAAUCUUCUGCACGGCAAAGGAAACCAUCCACAAAACCAAAACGCAACCUAACACCUGGGAGAAGAUACUUGCAAACCGUAUGUCGGAUAAGGGGUUAAUACCCAAAAUACAGAAAGAACUCAUACACCUCAACAACAAAACAAAUCAACAACCCAAUUAAAAAAACGGGCAAAAGAUCUGAGCAGUGACUUCUCCAAAGAAGAUCCGGAUGGCCAACAGGCCUAUGGAGAGGUGCUCAACAUCAUUAGCGAUCAGACAAGUGCAAAUGAAAACUACCAUGAGACGUCACCUUACUCUGGUCAGAAUGGCUCUAAGUAGCAAGACAAGAGACAAGUGUCGGAGAGGAUGUGGAGAGACGGGAACUCUCCUGCACUGCUGGUGGGGCGCAGACUGGUGCAGCCACUAUGGAAAGCAGCAGGGAGUAUCCUCAGAAAACUAAGAAUAGAUCUACCGUUAUGAUCCGGCUAUCCCACUGCUGGCUAUUCAUCCAAAGAACUCGAAGACACAAAUGCAGAAAGACACGUGCACCCCUAGGUUCACUGCAGCAUUAUUCACAACAGCCAAAACUUGGAAGCAACCUAGGUGCCCAUCAAGGGAGGAAUGGAUAAAGAAGAUGUGGUACGUAUACACAAUGGAAUACUACUCGGCCAUAAGAAAUGAUGAGACCCGGCCAUUUGUGACAACCUGGAUGGACCCUGAGGGUAUUAUGUGAAGUGAAAUAAAUCAGAGGGAGAAAGUCA